UGACGUGGCCGUCCGCGCAGAAUCCGGCUCCGGCUCCGGCUCCGGCUCCGGCUCCAACCCCAAGCUGAGAAAGCCGCUCAACCCUAGAAGCCCGCACCCCCGCACUAAAGCGUCUGGCGCACGCGGCGAGCAGGACAACAAGGACCUUCCUCAAUGGACCAGAAACUUUGAGGAAUCCCUGGAAUGUGGAAGACAAAAGGUGUUGAAUCGACUAAAGAAAUCACUGAGCAAAGCACAAAGAAGAAUGCUGUAAAAUGUGCGAAUGGCUUUGGAUGUUUAUGUAACAAGGAGAAUAAACUAGUGCUUACGUCAGAGAAUUGUGAAGAAGUAAAUGGACCAUUGUAGAAGUGACGUCAGAAAAUUGUGAAGAAGUAAAUGGACCAUUGUAGAAGUGACGUGCUUAGGAACGGGGUGCCUGACAUUGUCCAGUAAAGUUUUCCAGAAGCUACAUGAUCUAUCAUAUCACAGUAGACUGAAUGUAGAAACAGGAAAAGACUUCAAUUAAAACCAGUUACAUCAAUAGUAGCAGGAGAAAUACGGAGCCAGAUGACCAGCAGCCUGAGCACCACGAUGAAGAGCAAGGUCACAGGAGAAUGAGACAGCUUGGAUUUGAACCCUAGCUGUGCCAUUUCAACCCUGGACAAAUCAGAAGGAGAAGAGAAUUCCUGGGCCUAACUGAGCAUCAUUUGAUAAAAUAGGCUGUCAAGAACACAUAGAAGUAACACGGUAAGUAGCAAGCAGGCUUCUUGAGUUUUUAAUAAGUAGUUGUGAAAAUGAUACUUCUCUGAGUAUUUGCCUUUGAAUCUAUCACUGAAUUUGUUUCAUGUUUUACUAUGAUGAGAAGUGGCAGUUCUGAAUAGACUAUGGGCAAGUUUGUACGUGGGACUGGGGUGGAUGGCAGAUAUAUGUGUCUAUGACUGAAAGUUUGUAAUUAAUAAAU